rnacentral:tRNA from 1 species
GCGGGCGUGGCGGAAUUGGCAGACGCGCUAGAUUCAGGUUCUAGUGUUCACAAGACGUGGAGGUUCGACUCCUCUCGCCCGCA